rnacentral:rRNA from 1 species
GUAAUUAUAAUGGGUGCGCUCAUCCAAAAACAUUGUAAGGGCAUGUACAAAAGUCCCUACUGUUUCAGGUAUUCAACCCGCAGUCCUAUUUUAAGUGGCUCUCGAAGAAAACGUUUCGUUCUUACAGAAAAGACCCUAUGCUUUUGAGUAUUCAACCCGCUGUCCUUUUUAGGUGGCUAAAUUCAGAUACAACGAGCUUUGCAACUGCACUUCAAUUAAAUUGUCCCACCUCGCUGAUAUACAUAUAUUCUCACCAAUUUAUAUGUGUACGAGAGCUGCCAUGAGAAUCAACAAGCUACAUUAGAAAUCAAAACAAGCAGAGAAAGGGAACGGAAGGAAUCGCCAAAGCCUGAAGGAGCGAAGAAAAUGGAACAGAGUCCACCGAGCGAACACCACCACCGGCGCCCUCGCUCGACGGAGGACACGCGAUUUCCAAAAAGUGGGAGCAGAGAAGGCCGAGUCGAGGCGGCUGGGCUGACUGACACAGCAGGUAGGCCGCGGCUGGACGAGGCGCGCCCUGGCCUCCUCGCAAGCUGCGAGCAAAAGAAACAGCGGGGUUGAGGCAGGGCCUUACCUUGAUCUGGCGCCACAGUCCCUACGAUGGCAUGUGGAGGACAGGAGGAGGGAAGGGAUGGAUCCGAGCCUGUUGGUCGGGGCGAGGCCUGCUGUGGCCAGAUCCGGAGCAUGGGGCCGCAACUGAGCUCCAAAACGCAAUACAUCCUCUCGUGGAGUUCCGCACCGACAGAGAAGAGGGGGUUGAUGUUGCUGAUAGAGAAGAAGAGAAGGGACAGCGUCAGGUGGAUGGAGAAGAAG